UACAAAUGGACCUCAAAUAAGGACCUAAAGUCCGACUUACAUUCGGCCCCAAUUUCAAAUUACAUUUCGGCGGAAUACCCCUCGGCGGCGAGGUUCCGGCGAAACUCCUCACAAAUCUCUCUCUCCCAUCGAGUUCUCCACCACUGCUUAAAGAGGAAAUUGAUGAAUUAACCAAAAGUAGGAAAAGCAAUGGAGGUUAAUUUGGUGAAUACUCCAAGAAAAAAGCUUGGUGAUAUCAGCAACUUACCGCUGCGAAAGAGAUUCACUAGCGAAGAUAAGAAGCCAGAACAUAUCCCAACUGCUUCUAAAGAGUACAUAGAAAUGAUCCAGAAGGAAAAUUUAGUGUUGAUGAAGAUGUUAGCAGAAAGAAACAAAAUCAUUGAAAUAACUGGAGUAGAGAUAGAGAAACUGAGAACUAAUGUGCAGAAACUGCUGCAACAGAACCAGCAGCUUGCUCAAGCAAACAGUAAAAUGCUUGCGGAACUAAAUUCAAAUAAAGAUAGGCUAAAAGCAUUACAACAUGAGCUUGGAUGCACAAAGGGUUUACUUAAGGCUAGAAAGUUUGAAGCAGAGGAGCAACCAAGAACUAAUAUGUGCCAAAAUCUGAAUGAUGAGUAUUCGAAGGUGAAACACACAAAGUGUGAGCAGACAGGAGAUCUAUUGUUAGGAAAUGGAGAUGAUGACAAAGCUGUAAAUCUCAAAAGAAGGCCUCGGUCAAAGAGUGUGGGCUCUUCUGAGCCAGUUCAAUCUGAGGAUAAGACGGAAAACAAAAGACCUUGUAUAAGGAGGCAAUCUGCUCGGCUUAACCCUGAGGCGCUGAAACUCAAUGAAGAUUCUUUCGAUGUGCAAGGCAAAUGUGCUCUGCACCCUCCAACAAGUGAUCCAGUGCAAGAAAAUGGUUUGAAUUCCAUUAGCAUAUCAUCUGAUGGUCUAGAGUGCAAUCCUUUAUUGAGGUUUGAACCUGUACAGUUGGGAUCAUCUCUCCGUAGGCCAUCAAGGGAGGCAGCUAAGAAGGUCCAGUCAUACAAGGAAAUUCCUGUAAACAUAAAAAUGCGAAGACCACAAUGAACAACGUACUCGGUGUAAUUACCUCUUUGAUAUCGGAGCAAGUGCUGAAUGUUUCGCCAUAUCAGCAAUAUUUCCUCCACGUAAGCAUGGUCACCGGUCAGAGGUGUUUAUUAGUACUCAUUCCGUCAAGUACAAGUGUUCAAAUGGAAAACUUAUAAGUUUAUCUACCGGGUUGGCAAUUGGAUACAAGUUUAAGUGGUCCGGAGGCCAUUUUGCCUUUUAUAUAACAAAAAACUUUUAUUUUUACCCUAUUUGUUAAGUAUAGUUUCCCAACAAAGGGGAUUCAAUUGAA